rnacentral:tRNA from 1 species
GCCACGGUGGCGUAGUGGUUAGCGCAUCUGCCUAGUGAGCAGGAGACACAGGUUCGAAUCCUGAUCUUGGUG